GAAGGUGCAAAAAACUUUAAAGAAAACUAAAGAAGUACUUGGAAGACAAGAAGUUUUUGCCUGUCUCCCAAAAGAUCUGUAUUUGGCUGCUUUUCCUCAUUGUUGUUCUUGAUUGCUUUUGUUUGCUCCUUGUUCAGUGCUAUUUUUUUUCCCCUGAGGCUUUCCCCUCCGCUUCCUCCCUGGAUACUGUGAUUCUCUGGCUGAAAUGUUAAGGAUGAUAUCUGUUUGCUGGCACUGGGUCCUGAGGGAGCCAAGGUUUUCUGAAUAAAAGCAUCCGAGAAAUGCUUUUGGAAGUGCUUGUUGCAGUACAGUCUGACCCUGGAGAGCUGAAUAGUCACUUCAGUAACAAGCAAGGAACUCCAGUCGUAAACAAUGGUUAUGUUUAGAAGAAAGGAAAUGCAGGGCCUGCGCUGGAUCAUGGACAUGGAAGUGCUGCUUCGCCUAUCUAGGUCAUGUCUGGAGAUGGCAAGAUUUGUUCUGGUGGUGAGGCUCGAUGCUUACUGGGAAAGUCAUCUGUGGUUGCUGCAGCUGCUGAUCUUCAUUGCUGGGACACUUCAUGUACAGGAGGGAGUUUGGAUCAACCUGCAAGAACCAGCCCUUUCCAAAGACCGGAGCUGGGAAACACUAGAGAUGGAGCUGGGCUGCUCAGGCAGUCACGUACAGCCAGGGACCACCUUGCAUUCUUGCUGGUGACGACGUAGUUUGGCUUUGCACGAUGGGGACAGGAGUGGUGAAAUGCACUAGGACUCUGGUGGCACUGAUAUACUGGUAUAUAUACCCUGAUAUACUGGUAGCUGCUUUCACUGUCUCUUUGCUCUGUAUUGCCUGAGAUUGGUAUCUCUGUAGUAUGAAUGUGACAUAUCCCUCAGUAUGGCAGGAGGCUUUGUUUAUGUGCGAGGCUGCAAGGCCCACUGGGCUAGUACUGGGGAGCUGUUCCUUCUCGAUGUCCAGCUGUUUGACUGUUGAUAUUCCUUUAUUGCUACAGCCUCAAAUUUACCUGACUCCUUUCUUGAAGCUAAAGUUGAGAAUGGGGUUGAAACCUGUUUCUUCUCAGCUUUUUCAUCUGAGUUUAGACAACCUGGAAAUACUUUGUGCUGGCAAGGAUUUUUUUUCUCUUUCAUGCUUCACCAUAGAACCAAGUUAAAUUUCUCUUGAUACUAGCUUUGUAGUGCAUUUGGGUUAAACAGAAGGCAUCAAUGUAAAAUUGCUUUUCUCUUUGGAGUCUUUUUCAUCCACUAGAGAAAAACAUAAAUCCAGAAACAAAUUCUAAGUGGAGAUGGCUUUUAUUUUAUUCCUUACCAUCCCUGUUCCUCUUCUCUAUUUUUUUAUUUGGUUACUUUGCCUUUAGCAAGACUUGUACCUUAGUCUUCCAGGCACAUGCUUCACCUGAAUAGCUCUGCUGAAGUCAGGAAGAAAUCUUCAGCUAGUGGGUAUAAGUACAGCUUGGUCCCAGGUAACUGAAUGAAGCCAGUUUGCAUUAGCUGUAGUCCUGUUCUUGCUUAUCAGUUUCUAAUUCAGCACUGAUUUCUACAUGGACAACUCAUUUUAUUACAAUUGAUCGUUCUUGCUUCUCUGCAGUUAGAGAAGAAGCUGCUCCAGGAGAGGUUAAAUAUUGUGGUGAUAGCACUUUCUGUAGGCAUUUCUCUUAAUUAAAGAAUAAAAUGAGAACAGUCAUGGCAAACACAGUGGGGAGGAGUCACAAGGUCAUCGAAGUAAUUCUGAUGACACAUUGAUACAGCAAGGUCUUGCUAAUGGCUUAGUGUUCAAGACAAUUCUUCAGCAUUCUGCAAGUCAGGGCAGUUCUGGAUAAUGUGCAUUUCUCAAUUAUGGAAGAGAUUGACAAGGCAGCAGGAGUCUCCAACUAGAAGAUUACUUCACAGUAGUUCAGUGAGGAGGAGUUUUGUUAGGAUUGUCCUAAGCGAGAGGCUGAGUAAACACUGCUUGACUCAGAGUCCCGGUGAAACUAUACAAUUUGCUCUUAGGGGAGUAGGAAGCAAAAUGAGCUGUGUGGGGUUUUUUUUUUCUUUUUUAAGGGGGGGCAUCAGGCAUGAAAAUGACUUUUAGCUGUCAGCUGGUCUUCCUAAGGCCUGGCUUACCCACAAGGAUGGCCUUAUAAUCACUGAUGUGACUGCAAAAGAAAAAAGUAGCUUCAUUGCUCUGUUUUGAAUGGCUAAUCUCAAUUCACUGCCAGAUGCUACUCUGGACAAGCUUUAAAGCAAUCCCUGCCCCCCCCCCCCCCCAACAGCUUCCUUUUCUCCUAUUAUAUUCAGAGUCAUUUCAUUCUGAGGUAAAUCCUCUGGUAUCUUGGGGCGGGGGGAGGGCGGGCAAUAAUCCAGGGCUCUGUUAAUUUUGAUGGAACUGCCUGCAUGCCUGUUUGCACAGUGUGUUACACGGUGAAACCCUACAUUUCCAAGGACUCUAAGCAGCCACUGGCCCGGCUGGAUCUCCCCUUCUUUCCGCUUGCAAUAUACGUGAGUUUUGUUAAGCUGAUAGCACGGCAGUCAAAAAAGACAGCCAUAGAUUUUUUUUUUUUUCCUUUCUAAAAGAUCUGUCAGUUCAGUUUACUUAUGCAGCGGCUCUACUCCAUGCUUCCAGCUUGCGUAUGGGCUGUUCAGACUGCUUUCUGCUGAACAGUCCUGCAUGUUCUGCAACUUAUGCUGAUUCGGUUAUAGCAGUGCAACCUAAUCCUGUUACUGUGUUGUUACUAACCAAUCAAAGCACUGUGCUAAAAUAAAGUAGCGAACAGCAAAUGCCUUUCCAAAGGCUGAAAUCGCAGUUACCUUUGUUCACUUACAGCUUUCUUACUGUCUGCUUUAUGCAAGGAAUGAGUUUGGAGUUAUUUGGGUGACAUUAAAGACAGCAGAGCACUUGAUCAGGGAGGAUGCUGAGCUCUGUCUUGUUCUCAGCUGUCUGUGUGUGCUGUGUAGGAAACUUGAGUGACUGAGGAAGGAAGAUGUUUCCACUUAAGAGCUGAAACUGUCAACAUCCUCUGUCAACAACUCCAGGAGUCAGCCACACGGCUGCCCCCUCAUGAAUUUUCUUCUUGAUAAGGCACCACUGGCAUAGUCAGAGGCUAGUGGUGUUAACUGUUUAUAUAGUAUAUGCGCACUGUUGCCAUAGGGUCUCUCUGUUUAGGCACCUUCAAAAAAUCUAACCUUGUGUCAAGGUGUUGUCUCAUUUCUUCCACCUUCAGUUCCUCAAGUUACUGUGUCAAAGUAUUAGCUUGAUUCUCAUGCGCAGGGUUUGCCUUUGUUUUGUGGACCUAGUAUUGGCAAAAUGAUCCAGUUUCUACAUACUGGGUAAACAAAGUAUGAGGCUAGAGCAGGCUCCAAUGGAGAUGUUGGAAUGGAGGCGCCAAGUUUCAAGCAUGUUUUGGCUUGAAUUAAGCCAGCUAUUAAUUAAAAACCAGCAGCAAAUCCCCUGUCAGCCUUAAUCAAACACAGCCCUGCAAUGGUCCCAGUUGCAACAGCACUACCAAGAACAGAAACAAAAAGCAGAUGGAGGUUCUUGUACAUUGAAAGCUUCUCUUGUUUUCUGAAGUUUAGCAGUUGACCUAAUAAAAGGUACUCCCUCAAGAAAAUCAGAAAGAAGAGGGAGGAUUUAGUAGCUGUUGUCUGCCAGUGAUUUUGCGGGCCUAAUACGGGAUAUUAAUAUCUUCUGGAAAACUGACUUGGUGGUUUUGCUCUCAAGAGCUGUAUUUUGGCUACUGGAGAAGGAUUUGGAGCUGACAACAGGUCUGUGCUGUGAGAGUUCGGCACCUACCAUGCAAAAGCAUUGUGCCCACACAGCCCAACUCCUAGCCUGGGCAGAGGGACAUGAGCACUGUUCAGUGCAUGGGACCUCAGGUAUGCUACAUUCCUGGCUGCCAUUUCGCAUUUAGUGAGGUUUGUCUAACUGGAAUCUAUCCUUGGACAUUCCACAUCUUUAAAAAUGGCCUGCUUUUAGAUACCUAGCUUUUAAGAAUCGUGACCUAGAAGCCUGGUUUAAAGUUAAGAAAUUUUGGGUUCACAUGAAUAGGUAGAUUUUCCUCUAUAGAAACCCACUUGUACAGAGAAGAGCCAAGAUAAGAUUGGUGUGCAGUCUAAUAACUGAUGGUUGUAAAGGCAAGUGAAUCUGACUGAAAUCCAGUGUUGAUGGAUAUGUUUGAGCAGCCUGUAUCUUGUGAGAAAAGAGCACUCAAACUUGGGUACAAGUCAAUUGUGAUGUGUGAUGGAUUAUGCUGCAUUUGCCUUUUCCUCAAACACAAGCUUAAAUAUGCCUUUCCUUAAUAUUUGGAAGAAACUGUUUACAAUUAUUAUAAUGUUAAAUAUUUAAAAUAUUGCUAAUAUAUAGGAAGAUACCUGUAUGUGACUAUGAGUAAAAGCAUGAGCUAUCAUCUUUGGAGCUGUGCUUGUAAAGGGUAAUAAUAGAACUUUAUACCAAAGUUGCAACCUUUUGUGACUUUGGUAUAUAGGCUUGGGCUUUCACCAUCCAACUUGCACAGCCCAUAGGCAACCCCUUUUUGUUUCCCAAAGGUGCUUGCAGAGAGCAACUGUGAAAGAGUCACAAAGCCCUGCCUCAGGGACUGGAAUCUCAAACUCGUGGCCUGAAAGGUAGGAGGAAGUAGGGGGACGUGCGUGAGAUGCUGCACCAGGAGGUGGUACAGCCAGUUAGACACCAAGAGUAGUGGCCUAUAAACACUCUGCCCUAGGUUAGAGAGGGUAUCUGGGCUAUGGAGCUUGCUCAGGAUUUUCUGGUUAAGUCCCAAAACUGUUGGAAGGAAGCUGACCUGAGCCAGGAUCCAGAGACCAGUAUGUAUGAGUAGACUUUAGCCACAUUGUGAAAGUGGCGAUGUCCUCUCAGGAGCUUUCUAUCUCAAUAUGAAAUUAGGAUUGAUAUGGAUUAAGUGGCUUUUGUAGUUUAGUUCCUUGGCAGGUACCUUGGUAACUGGAUGCUCUUGUAGAAAAAGAGGUGAAGACCAUGCUUGGCUCAUUGAUGACUGAAGAACUGACAUCAUUCCGGUGUCCAAACGUGAAAGCAAAUACCAUUUCCUGCAUUGACUUCAGGUAAGUGCCUGUUGUAUUCUGUGCCUCACUCGACAAGUUUGGGGGCAUCUAGGAAAAGCAAGGUGCAUGUCUGAACUCACUCUACAAAGAGAAGGUGGCAAUUUUGACUUCUGGGUGGGAUCUGAAAAGUUACUGCUUUUGUGACACCACUUAACUUCUUUCAGAUAGGAAAAGCCAUUUGGCUUACCUGGGGCCAGAGCCCCUUUUUGCAGUCUAAAGGCUCAGUUCUUGAGGCCUUGCGUGCUGCCUCCUGCCAUCAGCUUAAAGGAUAUCUGUAGCCAGGAGCGGUGCCUCCUGCAAAACACAAAUUUCCCCUGCAACCCAAGCUGAAUGAGCUGUGGAUUGCUGAGAAACUUAGUAUCUUGGCUCUUCUGAUGCAAUGACUGCCUUGCUGUCCUUACCUGCCUCAAGAGCAAAAAGACGAAUACAUCCUUCCUGUGGCUAGUGAACUAGCUAGGCAGGUCAGUCCACGUUUUGUUCAGGAGGCAGGUGGGGAGAAACAUUGAUCCUAAGCUGGAAGUUAUUGCCUCACAGGAUUAAUAGUACUUCACUAUUAAGAAAGAAUUCCUGGCAGCCAAAUGAACAGGGACUCAUGGAGCAGCCAAUGGAGGGUGCCUAGGGAAAGCUCUAUAGGGAUUUUUCUUCCACUAUAUUCACUAAUCCCAUUUUAAACUGCAAAACGUGACACUUUACAUACCUUGCAGGAAGGUGUCCCAUACCUUGCCUGUUCACUAUAUGGCAGAGUAUCUUCUUGGUUGUGUUUUAAACCUGCUAGUCUUGUGUCUUGUUUGAAGUCCCCAAGUUCUUGUCGUUAGAAGAAACAAUGAAUAGUCAUUCUCUGUGCACCUCCUCAGUUCCACACGUUACUUAAAGGUCUCACUCCCCUCCCUCUGCACCUUUUUCAAGCUGCAGAAUCCUAGUCCCUUCAGUCAGCCCAUAUGCAGAAGGAACAGCUAUUCUGUUCCUUUGGUCAGCUGUGUUGUCUUUUUUGAAACCUUUCAAUUUCUCUGUUUUGAGAUGGAGAAAUGGGGAACCAGAACUUCUUGCAGUAUUUAGGAUACAGGUGUGCUGUGGAUUAAUUCUAUAACAUGUCUGUUUUCUACUUGUUUCUCUAUUCUGUUUCCAUGUAAUUCCUAGGGUUUUUCUUGGUUUUUUACUGCUACUGAACUGAUAUUCUCGUAGAACUCUUUGCCUCAAUCUUGUUCCUGAAAAGAAUAACCAACUCAACACCUAUUGCUUUGUAAGGUUAGGCCUCUUUUUCUGUAUGUGUGGCACUUCACACCUACCUGUUCCCAAGUUCAUCUGUUUCCCCAUACAGUCCUUCAGAAUUAUGUUUCUUCAGCUUGCUGUGUUUAAUUUUCCUUUCUACUGCUAUGAGUAGAUACCAUGGGGAAAAUCAUCAUCUCACUAAUUACUUCUCUUUUCUAGACCAUUUAUGAAUAUACUGAAUAGCAGAAAUUCCUGUGAGAUCAUGAUCUGGCUGCUUUAUUUGUUCUCUCCAAUUGCUCUCUUUUAACCAGUUUCCCAUCUUAAGCCUUCUUAUCGCAUGGCAGCUCAGUUCCUUUAAGAGGCUUUUGUGAGAGACCUUGUUUAAUGUGUUUUGGAAAUCUGAAUAGGCAAUAUUAGCCAGACCUCCCUUUGGCUGGUUGACUCACUCUGGAAUUUAGGUAGCUUUGCAAGGCAGGACAAAGGCUGUGAUGAUUCCAUCUCAUGUAGCACAUUUAUGGAAAUACCUGCUACUUCUGUUGUUUAGAGUCACUUGUACUAAUGUGGUCAGCAAAGAGAGCAUAGUUCACUGUCAGAAGUUCUCCAUGUUUGGUCUAGAACAUUUUUUAAAAGACUUCUCCCAGUCCUCUGGGAGAUAAAGUAGAGUUAGGUGAGAAAUUGCAUGCCAUUGUCAGUCAGUCUGUUUUUCCGUCUUUCACCCUGGGCGAGUACUGCCUGGGCUUGGUCACUUGUUACUCUUCAUUUUGUUGUUGGCUUUUCCCUCAUAGUCUCUUCUACUGACACUUCGGAUCAGCUAGAUGGUUCUACUUUGAACCUGCCUAACUGGGUUUUUGCAGUUCCUCUGCCUGAAUUUAUAAUCAUUUCCAUUUUUUCAGCUUUUCUGACGUACUCUUUCUUUUUCCCCAAUGUUUUUUUUGCCCUGAUGUUUAGCAUUGGGCUUUCUCAAGGCUUUUUUCUUAGAUAGGAAGGAUGUAUUUGAUAUAAGACUAACACAAUGUCUUUAAAUAGUCUCUGUGUCUCCUGAAAACAAUCAGUUCUUCAAGGUGCCCCUUUAAUGUUCUUAUUGAUUUAUUUUUCCAUUUUUUUAUGUGGUGGCUCUCUUUGAAAUUGAGCAUGGUAGUAGUGGAUGUUGUGACUUUGGGUCUCCCUGUAAAAAUGUUGUUGUAGUCCAAGUAUUUGGCAAUAAUAUCAUAAACUUAUCCUGCCUGCUUGUCAGGGCUGAAACAAGUGUUGCUUCCUAUCUUGUGGGUUCCCUGACUACCAGUUCUUGAAUCAGUCACUAACAGUGUGUAGAAAUCUAGUGUUAUCUCAGUACUCAAUGUCAAGUUUUCACAUGUUACCUGAGAGUAAUUGAAAUAAUUGUUCCCUGAUAUUUCAGCAUUCCACUGUCUUCCUGCCACCAAGUUUCCUUUAUGCCUAUUGUGUCCAUGUCCUUGUUUAAGUUAAGCUUUCUGGGUGUGCACCACCAUGUUUCUUAGUCAAUUCUGUAAAACAUGAGAAUUGCUGCUUUGGCCUUGUUUCUCUCUAUCCUAUUUACAUGGGGCUCUUUUUAGACUUCAGUUUCCUACUUGAUUUUUGCCAACUUCUGUCCUAUUCUGUACUUGAGGAUGUGGCAUCUACCUUAGGAUUCAGAACAGUGCAACUUCUGUGCCAGUCUGCUCUCCUACUUUUCAAUCUAAAGUUCUGUAUAGUCUUCCUGAUGUGAGGUGCAGAUGUUGUUUCCCUCUCAGUUCAGGGGAAAUCUGGCCAUCCUUUGUUAGGGUCUUGCUACUCCAGAAAUUUCCCCAGUCCCUGCUGAAUCUGAACUUCUCUCCCUGACACUGUUGCUUUAGUCACACAUUGAGACUUUGCCUCCCUACCAGCUGCAGCCCAUGUAGGACCAUAGGGGUCUUGGUCUCCCUACCUGACAUCCUACAUUCUGCCUCCAGAAUCUCUCUCCUUCCCUUGCUUUUAUCUGUGUACUCGCAUGGACUACAACCGCUGGCUCCUCAGCAGUCUUUCACAACUUGUCCAGCCUCCUUGUGAGGCUCAUUAGUGUUAGACCAGAAGGCACGUAAUACGCGAGCCAAACCAGUUAGGUACCUGGGAAUUGAAUCACCAAUGGCCAUUGCCUGUGCUUUCCUUCCAACUGGGGUUUCUGCCCCAGGGGAGUAUUGGCAGCAAAAGAUGUGUAGUCACUUUCCACAAAGAAGGACCUGUGACCUGGAUUAUUGCAUCCUUCACCAGUUUGAUGCCUUUCUUUCAUAAAACUAGCUCUAGAACAGCUUUUCUGUGCCCCUGAAAGCUGCCUCAGUUACCCUCUCUGCUUUAGCAGCACUGGGUCAUUUUGCCUGCAGGUGAGACUGUUCAGGGAUUCCCAUGAGGCUUCUAUGUCAUGGUGCAUUUUUCACCUGUGGAGUGAUAAAGUCAAAAAGAUGGGCUCUGUCUCAGAGGACUGUGGGCUGCCUGAAGUGAAUGAGUAUCUACACCACCUACACGCUGGCCAGGUAAUUGUAUGAUGACACUUGAUGCGUUACCCUCCAAAAUUCUCACCCUCUAGCAAGGCUUCUGCCCGUAUUUCUCUUGCGCACUUGGCCUGACUCAAUAGAAGUGUGCCCUUAUAGGAGGGCAAUGUAGCUUCCAGUUAAAGCACUGAGAAGCAAUUACAUAAUAUGUGUUAGUAGCAACUGUAUUCAUAAUGUUUCAGAAAAAAUUAUCCUGAGACCUUGACUGAACCCAAACAAUGAGAAGCUGAGGCUCAGCUUUGGCAUGUGCUUCAUUCAAAAGAAGCUGACCUUCCCAGAAAGACAGUGUUCCUAUUAGGUGGGUGUGGACUGAAUGUCGCCUGGGAGGAAGAGAUCCAGCCAUGUAGGAUGUGUUGGGAGCAAUGUGUUUCUUGGCUGGCAAGCCCUGGGCUGGAGAGGUGUCAGAUAAGGACAAUUCAGGAUGGAGGGGAAGAAUCUCUAGGUAUUAGAAACUUCCUUGCAAUAAAACAAAGAAAAUCUGUACCGUGCACAUCUGUGGUGUUCUAUACUCUGUAUUUGCCCUCCACAACAAAUCUCUCUGUAUGUAUCUCUAUCUUAAGAGUUAAUUUAGUGGAACUGCAAAACUUAAAUUUGAAAAAAGGGUUGCCAAUCAGAGAAGACUGAGAAAUGCUACCUUAGGUUCAAG